AGCAGCCGCGGUAAUUCCAGCUCCAAUAGCGUAUAUUAAAGUUGUUGCAGUUAAAAAGCUCGUAGUUGAAUUUCGGGAUCUAUCCGUCGGUCGGGCCUCACGGUCCGCACUGGUGUGAUGGAUUCCUACCUUCUGAAUAACCGGUAUGCCAUUAAUUUGAUGUGCCGGGGAAGCAGAACCAUUACCUUGAAAAAAUUAGAGUGCUCAAAGCAGGCCUAUGCCUGAAUACAUUAGCAUGGAAUAAUAAAAUAGGACGGCAUGGUUCUAUUUUGUUGGUUUCUAGGAUCACCGUAAUGAUUAAUAGGGAUAGUUGGGGGCAUUAGUAUUCAAUUGUCAGAGGUGAAAUUCUUGGAUUUAUUGAAGACUAACUUCUGCGAAAGCAUUUGCCAAGGAUGUUUUCAUUAAUCAAGAACGAAAGUUAGGGGAUCGAAGACGAUCAGAUACCGUCGUAGUCUUAACAUAAACUAUGCCGACUAGGGAUCGGACGAUGUUAAUUUAUAAUGACUCGUUCGGCGUACCG
rnacentral:rRNA from 1 species